rnacentral:lncRNA from 1 species
CACAGAUGAAUGACCCUUAGGACCAGGUCGUCUUGGAGACACUAAGUCUAAGUCUGCCUUAGAGAACACCACAGGAGCCUCCAAAGCAUGGACAGCGCAGCAAUUCUGAGGAGAGGAAGAAGGGCCCUAGAGGCAUGGGGUCACAUCAGGUCCCUAGGCACUCCUGCCCCUAGAUGCCACAGAAGGUGUCGUUGUGUGUGUCCGGAGCUGCCAGGCUGCAAAUGUCAAACAAGGUUGUGGAAGCAACUUGAGGUGCCAGUGGGUGAACAGGCCCAAGAAGAUGGUUUUUUUUAUUAGAAACCUUCCGUUUUUCAGACGUUUUUCUAAUUUAGUCUUGGCAAAGGUCUGGGUGGAUGUCCUUAGCCUCAGGGCAAUUUGAUUUAAUAUGGAGUGGGCUAUUAAGUGUUGGAGAAAAGAGACAGCUCUGUGAGACAAAAGCGGUGACUCCGGUCCCAGCAUGUCAUUAACUACAGAAGUGAUUCUCUGAGCCUCAGUUUCCCCAUCAGCAAGACACAAAGAGUUGGUUGAGCCCUAGGCUCUGUGUCCUCCUGGACACAGGGUGACAAAGCCAAUAACUCCACGACAGGAGAAUAAACCCUCUAGAACGACCCAGUUCCGAGAGGACCGUGGUUGUCACAGUCUCUAGUUUUGGGGAUCCGCCUUGUUGCCAACUCUUAGUUGACCGUGUGUCCCGAGUCUUAACGUAGGUCCAACAUCAAGUUCUCACAUUCACACACGGACCUCUGCGGUAGGGCACCCGGGGGCUCAGGGGUCCUGGUUCCCGCCCUGUCUGGCCCGAAGCGCCCGGCGCCCUGGCAGCCGCGGUGGCGGUGGACCCCUGGGGGCGCCGGGCUCCGACGCGCCAGGCAGGGACGUGGCGCCUUCCGAGGCGUGGCCCGGGGCUGGGCGGAGGCCGCUGCCCGAGGAACGAGGGUCCCUUCUCGGACAAUCCAUGCCCGGCUCUCGCCGGCUCGCAGAGACCGCCUCGGGAACGCCCUGGGCGCCGCGGCGCGUGCAGCGGGACCGGGGGCCAUGGCAACCCCAGCGCGCACCGCCCGGCCCCCGCGCCACCCCCGCGUCUGCCGCUGUCUCGGCGGAGCCCCGCGUCGCCGCUGCCGAUUGUUCAGCGCCGAGACUGGCUGGCUCUGCUCAAUUUCCAGACGCCUCCGUGGUCC